rnacentral:rRNA from 1 species
CCUACGGGAGGCAGCAGUGAGGAAUAUUGGUCAAUGGACGCAAGUCUGAACCAGCCAUGUCGCGUGCAGGAAGACGGCUCUAUGAGUUGUCAACUGCUGUUGGACGAGGGUAAACGCAGAUACGCGUAUCUGUCUGAAAGUAUCGUACGAAUAAGGAUCGGCGUACUCCGUGCCAGCAGCCGCGGUAAUACGGAGGAUUCAAUGGUUAUACGGAUUUAUUGGGUUUAAAGGGUGCGUAGGCGGUCGGAUAAGUUAGAGGUGAAAUCCCGAGGCUCAACUUCGGAAUUGCAUCUGAUACUGUUCGGCUAGAGAGUAGUUGCGGUAGGCGGAAUGUAUGGUGUAGCGGUGAAAUGCUUAGAGAUCAUACAGAACACCGAUUGCGUAGGCAGCUUACCAAGCUACUUCUGACGUUGAGGCACGAAAGCGUGGGGAGCAAACAGGAUUAGAUACCCGAGUAGUC